UUUCCGUAGGUGUACCUGCGGAAGGAUCAUUACCGAGUGAGGGUCUCUCAGGCCCGACAUCCCACCCUGUGUUUUUGUGACCUUGUUGCUUUGGCGUGCCCGCCUCGAUGAGAGGCCGCCGGAAGCUGAACGCUUUGGGCCCGUGCCCUUCAGUAGCCCCCUUAAAUUCUUAAUAAACCUUUCGUCUGAGUUUAUGGAUAUAAUGAAAAAAAACUUUCAACAACGGAUCUCUUGGUUCUG
rnacentral:misc_RNA from 1 species